UACGGGGGGGGCAAGCGUUGUUCGGAAUUACUGGGCGUAAAGGGUCUGUAGGUGGCCAACUAAGUCAGACGUGAAAUCCCUCAGCUUAACUGGGGAACUGCGUCUGAUACUGGUUGGCUUGAGUGCAGGAGAGGAAUGCGGAAUUCCAGGUGUAGCGGUGAAAUGCGUAGAUAUUGGGAGGAACACCAGUGGCGAAGGCGGCUCACUGGACCGGAACUGACGCUGAUGCGCGAAAGCGUGGGGAGCAAACGGG
rnacentral:rRNA from 1 species